rnacentral:rRNA from 1 species
UACGUAGGUGACGAGCGUUGUCCGGAUUUACUGGGCGUAAAGAGCGCGCAGGCGGUCGUUCAAGUCGAGUGUGAAAGCCCCCGGCUCAACUGGGGAGGGUCACUCGAUACUGAUCGACUCGAAGGCAGGAGAGGGUAGUGGAAUUCCCGGUGUAGUGGUGAAAUGCGUAGAUAUCGGGAGGAACACCAGUGGCGAAGGCGACUACCUGGCCUGUUCUUGACGCUGAGGAGCGAAAGCCAGGGGAGCAAACGGG